UUAAGCGACUAAGCGUACACGGUGGAUGCCCUGGCAGUCAGAGGCGAUGAAGGACGUGCUAAUCUGCGAUAAGCGUCGGUGAGGUGAUAUGAACCGUUAUAACCGGCGAUUUCCGAAUGGGGAAACCCAGUGUGUUUCGACACACUAUCAUUAACUGAAUCCAUAGGUUAAUGAGGCGAACCGGGGGAACUGAAACAUCUAAGUACCCCGAGGAAAAGAAAUCAACCGAGAUUCCCCCAGUAGCGGCGAGCGAACGGGGAGGAGCCCAGAGCCUGAAUCAGUGUGUGUGUUAGUGGAAGCGUCUGGAAAGGCGUGCGAUACAGGGUGACAGCCCCGUACACAAAAAUGCACAUAUUGUGAGCUCGAUGAGUAGGGCGGGACACGUGGUAUCCUGUCUGAAUAUGGGGGGACCAUCCUCCAAGGCUAAAUACUCCUGACUGACCGAUAGUGAACCAGUACCGUGAGGGAAAGGCGAAAAGAACCCCGGCGAGGGGAGUGAAAAAGAACCUGAAACCGUGUACGUACAAGCAGUGGGAGCCUCUUAAUGGGGUGACUGCGUACCUUUUGUAUAAUGGGUCAGCGACUUAUAUUCUGUAGCAAGGUUAACCGAAUAGGGGAGCCGAAGGGAAACCGAGUCUUAACUGGGCGUUAAGUUGCAGGGUAUAGACCCGAAACCCGGUGAUCUAGCCAUGGGCAGGUUGAAGGUUGGGUAACACUAACUGGAGGACCGAACCGACUAAUGUUGAAAAAUUAGCGGAUGACUUGUGGCUGGGGGUGAAAGGCCAAUCAAACCGGGAGAUAGCUGGUUCUCCCCGAAAGCUAUUUAGGUAGCGCCUCGUGAAUUCAUCUCCGGGGGUAGAGCACUGUUUCGGCAAGGGGGUCAUCCCGACUUACCAACCCGAUGCAAACUGCGAAUACCGGAGAAUGUUAUCACGGGAGACACACGGCGGGUGCUAACGUCCGUCGUGAAGAGGGAAACAACCCAGACCGCCAGCUAAGGUCCCAAAGUCAUGGUUAAGUGGGAAACGAUGUGGGAAGGCCCAGACAGCCAGGAUGUUGGCUUAGAAGCAGCCAUCAUUUAAAGAAAGCGUAAUAGCUCACUGGUCGAGUCGGCCUGCGCGGAAGAUGUAACGGGGCUAAACCAUGCACCGAAGCUGCGGCAGCGACACUAUGUGUUGUUGGGUAGGGGAGCGUUCUGUAAGCCUGUGAAGGUGGCCUGUGAGGGUUGCUGGAGGUAUCAGAAGUGCGAAUGCUGACAUAAGUAACGAUAAAGCGGGUGAAAAGCCCGCUCGCCGGAAGACCAAGGGUUCCUGUCCAACGUUAAUCGGGGCAGGGUGAGUCGACCCCUAAGGCGAGGCCGAAAGGCGUAGUCGAUGGGAAACAGGUUAAUAUUCCUGUACUUGGUGUUACUGCGAAGGGGGGACGGAGAAGGCUAUGUUGGCCGGGCGACGGUUGUCCCGGUUUAAGCGUGUAGGCUGGUUUUCCAGGCAAAUCCGGAAAACCAAGGCUGAGGCGUGAUGACGAGGCACUACGGUGCUGAAGCGACAAAUGCCCUGCUUCCAGGAAAAGCCUCUAAGCAUCAGGUAACAUCAAAUCGUACCCCAAACCGACACAGGUGGUCAGGUAGAGAAUACCAAGGCGCUUGAGAGAACUCGGGUGAAGGAACUAGGCAAAAUGGUGCCGUAACUUCGGGAGAAGGCACGCUGAUAUGUAGGUGAAGCGACUUGCUCGUGGAGCUGAAAUCAGUCGAAGAUACCAGCUGGCUGCAACUGUUUAUUAAAAACACAGCACUGUGCAAACACGAAAGUGGACGUAUACGGUGUGACGCCUGCCCGGUGCCGGAAGGUUAAUUGAUGGGGUUAGCGGCAACGCGAAGCUCUUGAUCGAAGCCCCGGUAAACGGCGGCCGUAACUAUAACGGUCCUAAGGUAGCGAAAUUCCUUGUCGGGUAAGUUCCGACCUGCACGAAUGGCGUAAUGAUGGCCAGGCUGUCUCCACCCGAGACUCAGUGAAAUUGAACUCGCUGUGAAGAUGCAGUGUACCCGCGGCAAGACGGAAAGACCCCGUGAACCUUUACUAUAGCUUGACACUGAACAUUGAGCCUUGAUGUGUAGGAUAGGUGGGAGGCUUUGAAGUGUGGACGCCAGUCUGCAUGGAGCCGACCUUGAAAUACCACCCUUUAAUGUUUGAUGUUCUAACGUGGGCCCCUAAUCGGGGUUGCGGACAGUGUCUGGUGGGUAGUUUGACUGGGGCGGUCUCCUCCUAAAGAGUAACGGAGGAGCACGAAGGUUGGCUAAUCCUGGUCGGACAUCAGGAGGUUAGUGCAAUGGCAUAAGCCAGCUUGACUGCGAGCGUGACGGCGCGAGCAGGUGCGAAAGCAGGUCAUAGUGAUCCGGUGGUUCUGAAUGGAAGGGCCAUCGCUCAACGGAUAAAAGGUACUCCGGGGAUAACAGGCUGAUACCGCCCAAGAGUUCAUAUCGACGGCGGUGUUUGGCACCUCGAUGUCGGCUCAUCACAUCCUGGGGCUGAAGUAGGUCCCAAGGGUAUGGCUGUUCGCCAUUUAAAGUGGUACGCGAGCUGGGUUUAGAACGUCGUGAGACAGUUCGGUCCCUAUCUGCCGUGGGCGCUGGAGAACUGAGGGGGGCUGCUCCUAGUACGAGAGGACCGGAGUGGACGCAUCACUGGUGUUCGGGUUGUCAUGCCAAUGGCACUGCCCGGUAGCUAAAUGCGGAAGAGAUAAGUGCUGAAAGCAUCUAAGCACGAAACUUGCCCCGAGAUGAGUUCUCCCUGACUCCUUGAGAGUCCUGAAGGAACGUUGAAGACGACGACGUUGAUAGGCCGGGUGUGUAAGCGCAGCGAUGCGUUGAGCUAACCGGUACUAAUGAACCGUGAGGCUUAACCUU
rnacentral:rRNA from 1 species